rnacentral:rRNA from 1 species
AAGCAGCUUGCUGCUUUGCUGACGAGUGGCGGACGGGUGAGUAAUGUCUGGGAAACUGCCUGAUGGAGGGGGAUAACUACUGGAAACGGUAGCUAAUACCGCAUAACGUCGCAAGACCAAAGAGGGGGACCUUCGGGCCUCUUGCCAUCGGAUGUGCCCAGAUGGGAUUAGCUAGUAGGUGGGGUAACGGCUCACCUAGGCGACGAUCCCUAGCUGGUCCGAGAGGAUGACCAGCCACACUGGAACUGAGACACGGUCCAGACUCCUACGGGAGGCAGCAGUGGGGAAUAUUGCACAAUGGGCGCAAGCCUGAUGCAGCCAUGCCGCGUGUAUGAAGAAGGCCUUCGGGUUGUAAAGUACUUUCAGCGGGGAGGAAGGUGUUGAGGUUAAUAACCUCAGCAAUUGACGUUACCCGCAGAAGAAGCACCGGCUAACUCCGUGCCAGCAGCCGCGGUAAUACGGAGGGUGCAAGCGUUAAUCGGAAUUACUGGGCGUAAAGCGCACGCAGGCGGUCUGUCAAGUCGGAUGUGAAAUCCCCGGGCUCAACCUGGGAACUGCAUUCGAAACUGGCAGGCUAGAGUCUUGUAGAGGGGGGUAGAAUUCCAGGUGUAGCGGUGAAAUGCGUAGAGAUCUGGAGGAAUACCGGUGGCGAA